rnacentral:rRNA from 1 species
AUUGAACGCUGGCGGCAGGCCUAACACAUGCAAGUCGAGCGGAUGAAGGGAGCUUGCUCCUGGCUUCAGCGGCGGACGGGUGAGUAAUGCCUAGGAAUCUGCCUUGUAGUGGGGGAUAACGUCCGGAAACGGGCGCUAAUACCGCAUCCGUCCUGAGGGAGAAAGUGGGGGAUCUUCGGACCUCACGCUAUCAGAUGAGCCUAGGUCGGAUUAGCUAGUUGGUGGGGUAAAGGCCUACCAAGGCGACGAUCCGUAACUGGUCUGAGAGGAUGAUCAGUCACACUGGAACUGAGACACGGUCCAGACUCCUACGGGAGGCAGCAGUGGGGAAUAUUGGACAAUGGGCGAAAGCCUGAUCCAGCCAUGCCGCGUGUGUGAAGAAGGUCUUCGGAUUGUAAAGCACUUUAAGUUGGGAGGAAGGGCAGUAAGUUAAUACCUGGCUGUUUUGACGGUACCAAAAGAAUAAGCACCGGCUAACUUCGUG